rnacentral:tRNA from 1 species
CACUGUACAGCUAUCCUAGCGUUAACCUUUUAAGUUGAAGAUGGGGNNGACACACCCUCUACAGUGA